UAGCCUACGGGGCGCAGCAGUGAGGAAUAUUGGUCAAUGGCCGUAAGGCUGAACCAGCCAAGUAGCGUGAGGGAAGACUGCCCUAUGGGUUGUAAACCUCUUUUAUGCGGGGAUAAAGGUGUCCACGUGUGGAUGUUUGCAGGUACCGCAUGAAUAAGGACCGGCUAAUUCCGUGCCAGUAGCCGCGGUAAUACGGAGGAUGCGAGCGUUAUCCGGAUUUAUUGGGUUUAAAGGGUGCGUAGGCGGGACCUUAAGUCAGCGGUAAAAUUGCGGUGCUCAACGCCGUCGAGCCGUUGAAACUGGGG
rnacentral:rRNA from 1 species